rnacentral:rRNA from 1 species
GACGAACGCUGGCGGCGUGCCUAAUACAUGCAAGUCGAACGCAUUUUCUUUCACCGUAGCUUGCUACACCGAAAGAAAAUGAGUGGCGAACGGGUGAGUAACACGUGGGUAACCUGCCCAUCAGCGGGGGAUAACACUUGGAAACAGGUGCUAAUACCGCAUAAUUCCAUUUACCGCAUGGUAGAUGGAUGAAAGGCGCUUUUGCGUCACUGAUGGAUGGACCCGCGGUGCAUUAGCUAGUUGGUGGGGUAACGGCCUACCAAGGCUGCGAUGCAUAGCCGACCUGAGAGGGUGAUCGGCCACACUGGGACUGAGACACGGCCCAGACUCCUACGGGAGGCAGCAGUAGGGAAUCUUCGGCGAUGGACGCAAGUCUGACCGAGCAACGCCGCGUGAGUGAAGAAGGUUUUCGGAUCGUAAAACUCUGUUGUUAGAGAAGAACAAGGAUGAGAGUGGAAAGUUCAUCCCUUGACGGUAUCUAACCAGAAAGCCACGGCUAACUACGUG